rnacentral:rRNA from 1 species
UACGAAGGGGGCUAGCGUUGCUCGGAUUGACUGGGCGUAAAGGGCGCGUAGGCGGUUCGUACAGUCAGACGUGAAAUUCCUGGGCUCAACCUGGGGGCUGCGUUUGAUACGUGCGGACUUGAGUGCGGAAGAGGGUCGUGGAAUUCCCAGUGUAGAGGUGAAAUUCGUAGAUAUUGGGAAGAACACCGGUGGCGAAGGCGGCGACCUGGUCCGAUACUGACGCUGAGGCACGAAGGCCAGGGGAGCAAACGGGG